rnacentral:rRNA from 1 species
GACGAACGCUGGCGGCGUGCCUAAUACAUGCAAGUCGAACGCACUCUCGUUUAGAUUGAAGGAGCUUGCUCCUGAUUGAUAAACAUUUGAGUGAGUGGCGGACGGGUGAGUAACACGUGGGUAACCUGCCCUAAAGUGGGGGAUAACAUUUGGAAACAGAUGCUAAUACCGCAUAAAACCUAACACCGCAUGGUGUAGGGUUGAAAGAUGGUUUCGGCUAUCACUUUAGGAUGGACCCGCGGUGCAUUAGUUAGUUGGUGAGGUAAAGGCUCACCAAGACCGUGAUGCAUAGCCGACCUGAGAGGGUAAUCGGCCACACUGGGACUGAGACACGGCCCAGACUCCUACGGGAGGCAGCAGUAGGGAAUCUUCCACAAUGGACGAAAGUACUGAUGGAGCAACGCCGCGUGAGUGAAGAAGGUUUCGGAUCGUAAAACUCUAGUUGUUGAGAAGAAUGUAUCUGAUAGUAACUGAUCAGGUAGUGAC